GUCUAUGGCCAUGUCACCCUGAACAAGCUCGAUCCCGUCUGAUCUCGGAAGCUGAGCAGAGUCGGGCCUUGUUAGCACUUGGAUGGGAGACCACCUAGGAAGACCAGGUGCUAUAGGCU
rnacentral:rRNA from 1 species